UACGUAGGGGGCAAGCGUUGUCCGGAAUCAUUGGGCGUAAAGCGCGUGUAGGCGGCUCGAUAAGUCUGCUGUGAAAGUCCAGGGCUCAACCCUGGGAUGCCGGUGGAUACUGUCGAGCUCGAGUCCGGAAGAGGUGUGUGGAAUUCCUGGUGUAGCGGUGAAAUGCGCAGAUAUCAGGAAGAACACCCGUGGCGAAGGCGGCUCUCUGGAACGCAACUGACGCUGAGACGCGAAAGCGUGGGGAGCAAACAGG
rnacentral:rRNA from 1 species